GCUACCCGGAGGUGGCUCAGUUGGUCAGAGUGUGGUGCUGGUGAUGCCAAGGUCAUGGGUUCGAUCUCUGUAUGGGCCAGCU